ensembl:snRNA U6 U6 spliceosomal RNA
GUGCUUGCUUUGGUAGCACAUAUACUAAAAUUGGAACGAUACAGAGAUUAGCAUGGCUCCUGCUCGAAGGUGGCACAAAAAUUUGUGAAGAUUUCCGUAUUUUU